rnacentral:rRNA from 1 species
GAUGAACGCUGGCGGCGUGCCUAAUACAUGCAAGUCGAGCGAACAGACGAGGAGCUUGCUCCUCUGACGUUAGCGGCGGACGGGUGAGUAACACGUGGAUAACCUACCUAUAAGACUGGGAUAACUUCGGGAAACCGGAGCUAAUACCGGAUAAUAUAUUGAACCGCAUGGUUCAAUAGUGAAAGACGGUUUUGCUGUCACUUAUAGAUGGAUCCGCGCCGCAUUAGCUAGUUGGUAAGGUAACGGCUUACCAAGGCGACGAUGCGUAGCCGACCUGAGAGGGUGAUCGGCCACACUGGAACUGAGACACGGUCCAGACUCCUACGGGAGGCAGCAGUAGGGAAUCUUCCGCAAUGGGCGAAAGCCUGACGGAACAACGCCGCGUGAGUGAUAGAGGUCUUCGGAUCGUAAAACUCUGUUAUUAGGGAAGAACAAAUGUGUAAGUAACUAUGCACGUCUUGACGGUACCUAAUCAGAAAGCCACGGCUAACUACGUG